GUGGGGAAUAUUGCACAAUGGGCGCAAGCCUGAUGCAGCGACGCCGCGUGGGGGAUGACGGCCUUCGGGUUGUAAACUCCUUUCGCCAGGGACGAAGCGUUUUGUGACGGUACCUGGAGAAGAAGCACCGGCUAACUACGUGCCAGCAGCCGCGGUAAUACGUAGGGUGCAAGCGUUGUCCGGAAUUACUGGGCGUAAAGAGCUCGUAGGUGGUUUGUCACGUCGUCUGUGAAAUUCCACAGCUUAACUGUGGGCGUGCAGGCGAUACGGGCUGACUUGAGUACUGUAGGGGUAACUGGAAUUCCUGGUGUAGCGGUGAAAUGCGCAGAUAUCAGGAGGAACACCGAUGGCGAAGGCAGGUUACUGGGCAGUUACUGACGCUGAGGAGCGAAAGCAUGGGUAGCAAACAGGAUUAGAAACCCUAGUAGUCC
rnacentral:rRNA from 1 species